rfam:Camelus ferus isolate Naran unplaced genomic scaffold scaffold31568, whole genome shotgun sequence.
GGAGAUAGCUCAGUGGUAGAGUGCCUGCCUGGCAUGCACAAGGUCCUGGGUUCAAUUCCUAGUACCUCCA